GGCUUUUGUUUUCUCUUCCGUUCUUGGCCUCUCUCUUCCGUGGCAGUUUUCCCUCGUCGAUCUCCAUCUCUCCUCCUUCUCUCCUCCCUUCGCCCAUCCAUUCUCGGAGACCGCCACCGAUCAUUCGAUUGGCGGUGGUUCGACAGCCUCGGUGUUUCUCGUAUCUAUUAAUCCUUGCAGGCGCCGGCGGCGAUUUUAGAGGCGGACGUCGUGGAUCGGCUCUCCGAUCUCGGAUCCAAGAGGAUGAGAUCCGAUCGUGGCCUUUUUAUAUCGAUCCGAUCCAAAAAAUUCCCGAUCUGAAGCCUCGGCUCGUGGGUUUCUUGCCUUACCCCUUUAUAGAAGAAUCCUUUUAUUUUGAUGUUUAGAAGGAGAAAGAUUAUUAGUUUCUCUUGAUCUAUCUGUCGAUUAAUUGGAGAUGUUGGAGAGGAGCGGCAUAAUCCAUAAGUGUUUUUGUUGUUCUUGUUACCGACCUUUGCCAUGUUGGGUGCGCUCGCAUGGCAGGUCACAGAAACCCUAAUAAAAGCUCCAUUUUUUGGUGUUUUAUGGGGGAGAUCGUACGGGGAAUUAAUUUUGCCCUGGGGUCUCCCCUUCGUGUUUCUUCGCUCUUGAUUUUUUUUUCUUUUGUUUUUCCUUAGUUCUCUCUGCCAUCGUUUUUUUUUUCAAAAAAAAUCGUAUAGAAAGUGCCUCAAGGCACGAUCAUGUCGUCGAUAACAUCACUGCAAGAAGAGCUUAACACCCGUUGUAGGUAUGAAUAGUGAUAUUAGUUUGGCAAUUUUGAUAUUCUCUAGUUAAUAAUGAAUUGUUUCAAAAGGUGUAAAUGCCUGCUGACUCACGUUAUUUAGAUUUUUUAUGUCACAUUAGAUUCGAUGCUACAUACUCCUGAGCUAAACGUCCAGGUGGAGGAAAUAACUCCGGCGUAUAGAAACUAUGGGUUUACAGAGAGAUCAGUUUCCGGUGGAGCUCAGUUUCCUUUGGAGCAUGAUUCCUGAAAGCAAUGUGCAGAAAUUAAAGUUUCGAUCCAGUUUAUAGAUUCCUUUAUCAUUGCCACUGGUUCAAAAUUUCACCUUUCUUACUCUUGUGCUUCGAGUUCAAUCCAGAAACAAAGUCGCUAGUCAGGUUUUUCAUUCUUUUCUUAGUCCGCCAUAAUAUUCCAUUGCGAUUGACAGAUGUCUUAUCGUAUGACAGUACAAUUUAGUUUAAUUUAUUUUUUGUCGCCUCACAAUUUAUUCAACAGAUUAGUGAUGUUUAGGGACGUUCAAGCCACUGCUUCUGAAUCUCCCGAUUUUUGUUUGGCCAUGCUUCUCCUUGUAUGGCAAUGCUAUAACAUGGUGACCCUGAAAGAAUUUGAAGGGAAAAAAAAGAGAAGGUAGACUUUGGACGAGUUCUGAUGAUGUAUAUAUAUGUUAUGCAUCAGAUCAUGAUCUUGGAGUGCUGGAGAAAUAUUUUAGGUCUCAGCAUGCUUUUUUUGUAUAUACCAUGAAUGGGUUUGUGAAUAGGCGCUGAUACAAGAAUAAUUGAUAUUCUCUAGGUCAUCGGUAUUUAUCAAUGCUUUUACUUGUUAUAUGCUGUUCUUUUGUGAAAGUCAAAUUCUUGUAUUGGUUAGUAUAUUUGUCUCCUAUUACUGUGAACUUUUUUUAGGUGUAUUUGUUUCUGCAAGUAAGUGGUAGCUGUUUUCUGAAUGGUGCCUUUUUCCCCUGUGGCAUGAGGUGAUGAAGAAAUGCACUCUUCUGGUCUGAUGAAGCUUUUGCUAUUUUUGAGUUACUUGUUUCUGGUUGUCAUGUGAAGUCUUUUGUUUUGGUGAUUAAAAUGAAAAUGUUCAGUCCUUUUGUAAUUGUAAUGACCUUUGCCAUGUUGGGUGCGUUUGCUUGGCUGGUCUUAAAGAUUUCAAUAAAAUUAUUUCUGGUUUUUUUGGGAGGCUUGUAUUGGCAAUAAUGAUAUUACCCAGACUCUUUCUUUUUAUCACCUGUUUUCCUCCUCCCUUCCCUUCCCCAUAGGAUUUAAAUUUCCAUUCUUCACAAUCAUCACCGUCUGCUAUCUACCGAGCACAGAGAAGGAAGCGGAUCUUGAUUCUCUUCAUUCAAGUGAUCGCAGGAAUAUUAGCAAUGUUUACCUUUGUGAUUGUCAAUCAUUUAUGCUAUAUAAAAUUUUAUAGAAUUUUCUGUAGCGUAAGCUGUGUAUGUUCUGUAACUGUUCCCCUUGAUGCGGAGGAAGAUAGUUGAAAUAGUAUUGUCUAUAUAUCAUGCUGUUGCGCUUAAGAAUUUGCAUUGUUGGUUUUGCAAGCUUGUGGUGUUUCAUGAAGACUAGGGGGAUUACAUUGUUAUCAUCUUUGGGUUCUGGCCUCGCAAGUCUUUAAUACUCUAUUACUGGAUUUGUUUUCAUCCAAAUUUUGUGAAUCCAUUAUGGAUUCCUAUAUGUUUCAGUUAUUGUCCUGUUGCCAGAUAUUUUUUUUAUUUCUAUUCAAGCUUUGUAAAUCCAUCACGAAUUCUCAAGUGCCCUAAGUUAUUGUAUGGAUUUUUUUUUUAAUUCAAAUUUUAUGAAUCCAUCAUGAAUUCCUAAAUCUGCUAUAUCAUUAGCCUGUUAACAUCAUAUGUUUAUUUGGUUUCUGAGACUGGAGAAAGCAAUCAGAACAUAUCAAUCUGACCACCUUCUGGAGCCUUAGAGGUACUAUCGAUAAUUGAUUUGGUCGUCAUCUUCUUAUUUCUCUUUAGUUGAUGAAUUUGAUUUUAAAUUUCUGAAGUACAAUAACUGGAGUACAGUGCCUAAACCAAAUUUCAACCUGAUUUCCUAUCUGAUUUUACUUACUGUUUUGUUGAGACUCUAUAAUCUUGAACUGUCUCUUUUAUAAGUGGUCUGUUGUAUAAAUGUUCUAAUUUUUUUUUCUGAUGGUGAGGGAGAUGUUUUCUUUUUGUGUGUGCGAAUGAUGAUAUUUUUGUUCUAGUUAUUUGAUUAGGCUGUUAUUGUAUUGUUUGCUUAAUAGAAUGGUAAUUUGACAUAGGUAUGGUGAGUCAAUGCAACAAUGAACGUUAGUACGUUGGGCUGGUGGCAUCUGGACGAUGUCCUUCAUGGUUCUUCUUAGUUUAAGGUACGGUCAGGACGAUAGUUGUGGAUUGUGGAUAUGGUCUUAUCAGCCUUCCUAGCGUCUUGUGGUCUAUUUAAUUGUGUCUUCUGGAUUUUUUCAAAUAUCAAUCGACUUCUGGGUGGAUAUAGGACUGGAUUAUGGGCAUAGAGAUGGUUGAAAAGACAUUGAAUGCGAUCAUACAAGGUGGUUUCUUUAAUUGAAUUAAGUCAUGGAUCUCUCAGUGAAUUGAAUUUCUCACUGGACAUAAAAUCAGAUUCCGCUAAUGCCCUACGCUGGGAAUUCAUUUGUGGGAAAAAUUUGUUUCCUUGUCCUCGUAGUCAUACUGGCUUGCAAUUCACGAGGAAGGAUUUAGCCAACCUGGAGAAAUUAUCAGGCGCAGCAACGCCGAUGAUGGCCAUUUUUUUUUCCUUUUUAUUGUUUAAGAGAUGUGUUGGGAUUUCCUACAGAAGGUUCGGAACCCCGAAUUUUGGGAACUCCCCGUUUUGGACGGGUGCCGACAUACCGAAGAUGAUGCUUUUGGAAAAUUCUUGGAAUUCUGGGAACUCCCGACCCGUUCUCAGAAUAGGCACGAUGUGCAUAUUUCAUUCAAAAAUCAUUAUUUAUAAAUAUAUCUUUUAGUUC